rnacentral:tRNA from 1 species
GUCGAAAUAGCUCAGUUGGGAGAGCGUUAGACUAUAGAUCGAAAAGUCCCUGGUUCGAUCCCGGGUUCCGGCA